UACGAAGGGGGCUAGCGUUGCUCGGAAUGACUGGGCGUAAAGGGCGCGUAGGCGGAUGGCACAGUCAGAUGUGAAAUUCCCGGGCUUAACCUGGGGGCUGCAUUUGAUACGUGUGAUCUAGAGUGAGGAAGAGGGUCGUGGAAUUCCCAGUGUAGAGGUGAAAUUCGUAGAUAUUGGGAAGAACACCGGUGGCGAAGGCGGCUCACUGGCCCGGUACUGACGCUGAGGUGCGAAAGCGUGGGGAGCAACAGG
rnacentral:rRNA from 1 species